CGUAGCGACCGUCGCCGAUAGCGGGAGGAUCUCUCCUCAGAGUCGGGUUGCUUGAGAGUGCAGCCCUAAGCGGGUGGUAAACUCCAUCUAAGGCUAAAUACGACCACGAGACCGAUAGCGAACAAGUACCGUGAGGGAAAGUUGAAAAGCACUUUGAAGAGAGAGUUCAAGAGUACGUGAAACCGUUCAGGGGUAAACUGAGAAACCCGAAAGGUCGAAAGGGGAAAUUCAUUCGCGUCUCGACAGACGAAGCGAGAGGGUCGAGCGACGGACCGCGUCCGCGCGGUCCGCGCCUUCCUUCCCGCCGUUCGACUUCGAACGCGUGCACUUUUCCCCUCGUAGGACGUCGCGAUCCGUCGGGCGUCGGUCUACGGCUCGCGGUGGAGCCCUGGCGCGCGUCUUUCCGACGUCCGCGCCAGGACCCGCGGUGUCCCGGCCGACUCGCUCGACGGUAUGAGGAUGGCGCGGGGCCGCUACCAUUACGGUUAGCGUCCGGCCCGCGGCAAGCGCGUCCGUAAGUUUGACGGCGAUCGGACCCGGUGCCGGUCCCGUCCUCGGACGGCUGUUGGCCGCGGCGUUCUCGGACAGACCUCGUAAUUUUUUUACGAAACGCCGAUCCGCGACGCUAUAGCUUUGGGUACUUUCAGGACCCGUCUUGAAACACGGACCAAGGAGUCUAGCAUGUGCGCGAGUCAUUGGGACAUAACUAAACCUAAAGGCGCAAUGAAAGUGAAGGUUCGCCUCGCGCGAACCGAGGGAGGAUGGGCGGUUCGUACCGUCGGUGCGGCCGCUCCGCACUCCCGGGGCGUCUCGUUCUCAUCGCGAGAAGAGGCGCACCAAGAGCGUACACGCUGGGACCCGAAAGAUGGUGAACUAUGCCUGGUCAGGACGAAGUCAGGGGAAACCCUGAUGGAGGUCC
rnacentral:rRNA from 1 species